rnacentral:rRNA from 1 species
UAGGGAAUCUUCGGCAAUGGACGGAAGUCUGACCGAGCAACGCCGCGUGAGUGAAGAAGGUUUUCGGAUCGUAAAGCUCUGUUGUUAGAGAAGAACGUUGGUAGGAGUGGAAAAUCUACCAAGUGACGGUAACUAACCAGAAAGGGACGGCUAACUACGUGCCAGCAGCCGCGGUAAUACGUAGUUCCCGAGCGUUGUCCGGAUUUAUUGGGCGUAAAGCGAGCGCAGGCGGUUCUUUAAGUCUGAAGUUAAAGGCAGUGGCUUAACCAUUGUACGCUUUGGAAACUGGAGGACUUGAGUGCAGAAGGGAAGAGUGGAAUUCCAUGUGUAGCGAUGAAAUGCGUAGAUAUAUGGAGGAACACCGGUGGCGAAAGCGGCUCUCUGGUCUGUAACUGACGAUGAGGCUCGAAAGCGUAGGGAGCAAACAGG